rnacentral:lncRNA from 1 species
UGCAGAGUGACAAUGACAGUGGAUACAAAGUGACUCAGCCCAGGGUCUGAGCAGAGCGGUCCUGGGCUCAGGCUGGAAGGCAAAGGAGUUGGGGCCAAACCGAGAGCGAGCCCCACGUUGUCCUCCACCCUCUCACUGGCACCUCCACAGGGCUGGGGAGUCAUCUUUGAGGACAGCAGCGCCUCGUCAGCCUGGAUCCGAGGCCUUGUGGAGGAAGUCCUUCCACGCACCCUUCUGCUUCAGAAUCAGGAUACUGUUUGUGAAGGUUUUGUGCCUUACAAGGGUAACUGGUUGGAGGUUGUGUAUUCCAUGGAGCCAGGCACAUCCCACAUCAAAGCAAACUCAGUGAAGCCCAUGAACUCUAGCCUUUCCUGUAUCCUGGUGUGUGAAGGGCAGGAAGUUCCAACCCGACACAGAGACUGAGCUGAACUCUGGAUCCAGUUCCACACUUCAGAGAAAGAACCACUGACCCAAUUUGGACCUGAUGACUCAUCCAAUGCCAGGUGCCCAGAGGAGGGAGGGGAGGGAGCAUUGCAACAGAGCUGCAGGAGCCUGGUUAAUCUUCAACUCCCCAGCUUGCCCU